rnacentral:lncRNA from 1 species
UCCAGAAAUUGAUGGAUGUUUGUAGUACUUGCAUUCAAUACGCGGCAAUAAUCGCGAUAAAUUGUCGUUUUUAACUGGUUUAACAAGACGGUACGAUGAGUAAAGCAUCGAUCUUUAUCGGUUCAACCAGGCAGUACGAUAAGUAAGAAGUACAAACAUCAAUCCUCUUAUGAUUUGGAUUUUCAGAAACAAAACAAACCAAAACAGAAACCAUACUGGUGGUUUUUGCAGAAUCAGAACAGACAUCAAAACAAACUGGAUUGCAACAUAAGAAAGCAAAAGAUAAAUGUUUUAGCCAUAAGAGGAACUCCCAUCAUGACUGGAGCCGAACUGCCUUUCUGUGACUUGCCGGUUCGCCAGCAGAAAGAUGAAACCUUUCGCCAUUAAAGGACUGGAAAAAUUUCACCUCAUCACUGAACAAACUGUUUUGAAGAAGAUAAUGAUGAUGAACAAUGGAACCCACCAAAGGCAAGGUUUGGGAACCAAUCAUCCAACACUCCAAAUCUGUUCCCCCCCACAAACAAACAACCAACUCCCCCCCAAAGGCUUCUUCUUUCUCCAUGGAUAUGGGGAUCAGAGCUUUGAUUGGAAGAACACUACCAUUUUUCCAGAUCAGGAGUGGAAUCCAAUGGGGGAGAGGGGAAGUUUGGCUCUUUGUGGCAAGAGAGCCAAAAUGGUUUGUGGGGGGUGGAGGAGCUUAGCCUAGUUAUGGAGGGGUUUAAAUAGUUUCAUUGGUUGAGAAGUGAAGGAUAAAUUUUUGGGGGUUUUUUUUUUGUUUUU